rnacentral:rRNA from 1 species
UACGGAGGGUGCGAGCGUUGUUCGGAAUUACUGGGCGUAAAGCGCACGUAGGCGGCUUUGUAAGUUAGAGGUGAAAGCCCGGGGCUCAACCCCGGAACUGCCUCUAAGACUGCAUCGCUUGAAUCCAGGAGAGGUGAGUGGAAUUCCGAGUGUAGAGGUGAAAUUCGUAGAUAUUCGGAAGAACACCAGUGGCGAAGGCGGCUCACUGGCCUGGUAUUGACGCUGAGGUGCGAAAGCGUGGGGAGCAAACAGG